rnacentral:lncRNA from 10 species
AGAGGGCAGCAACCGACUUGUGCGAAAGGAGGGAACGUGUGGGUCUGCCAGGGUCCUGCAGGGGGGAUGAGACCCUCGCUCCGCUCCGGCGAUCCCUUCGCUCUCCACCCUCGGCCAGCCCCUCCUGUCCUCCAUCAGGCCUCGCUGAGGAUACCUCCUGGGUUCCAAAGCGCGAGUUGAACCUGAGCUUGACAUUCAUUCCGUCUCGUACAAAAGCCAUGCCUGCGGGGAGAGGGAGAAAAUUUCCUACAGGAGCCUCAAGACUGCGUUUCAGGAAGCCCUAGGACCCACUGAUCCUGCAGCUGCGCCUCUCACUCGCCUCAGAUGGAAUCUCGCUCUGUCACCCAGGCUGGAGUACAGUGACUCGAUCUCAGCUCACUGCAACCUCCACCUCCUGGAUUCAAGUGAUUCUCCUGCCUCAGCCUCCUGAGUAGCUGCGAUUACAGGCACGUGCCACCACGCCCAGCUAAUUUUUGUAUUUUUAGUAGAGAUGGUGUUUCACCGUGUUGGUCAGGCUGGUCUCAAACUCCUGACCUCGUGAUCCGCCCGCCUCGGCCUCCCAAAGUGCUGGGAUUAUAGGCAUGAGCCACCAUGCCCGGCCUUGAUAAUGUUUCUUAAUGAAUUCAACCUGUAUAUAUACAAGGCAAGAUGGUGCUUAUAUAUGGAAGUUAUACUGCAAUAUAUCCUUUAGAUAACGAAUGUUAUAUAAAUCCCUAGUAAUGUUGAGUUGAUCUGUAAAUUUCUUAUGUUGGAAAAAGUGAAAACAAAAUGAACUCCAUUCCCACACUAUUUGAAGCAUCUAUAAUUUCCCAGAUCAAGCUACAGCUUCAAUUACAUUUUUCUCAUCUUUAGGAAAGGACAGAGGAAAUUCUGAUAUCUCAGAAUCUGUUUAAUUUUCCAAUUGAGAAGCUGCCACCUAACUUUUCUUUUCUUUUUUUUUAUUUUAUUUUUCACAGAGUAUCUUUUUUUUAUUAUUAUACUUUAAGUUUUAGGGUACAUGUGUACAACGUGCAGGUUUGUUACAUAUGUAUACAUGUGCCAUGUUGGUGUGCUGCACCCAUUAACUCGUCAUUUAACGUUAGGUAUAUCUCCUAAUGAUAUCCCUCCCCGCUCCCCCCACCCCACAACAGGCCCUGGUGUGUGAUGUUCCCCUUCCUGUGUCCAUGUGUUCUCAUUGUUCAAUUCCCACCUAUGAGUGAGAACAUGUGGUGUUUGGUUUUUUGUCCUUGCAAUAGUUUGUUGAGAAUAAUGGUUCCCAGCUUCAUCCACAUCCCUACAAACGACAUGAUCUCAUCAUUUUUUAUGGCUGCAUAGUAUUCCAUGGUGUAUAUGUGCCACAUUUUCUUAAUCCAGUCUAUCAUUGUUGGACAUUUGGGUUGGUUCCAAGUCUUUGCUAUUGUGAAUAGUGCCACAAUAAACAUAUGUGUGCAUGUGUCUUUAUAGCAGCAUGAUUUACAAUCCUUUGGGUAUAUACCCAGUAAUGGGAUGCCUGGGGCAAAUGGUAUUUCUAGUUCUGGAUCCCUGAGGAAUCGCCACACCGACUUCCACAAUGGUUGAACUAGUUGACAGUCCCACCAACAGUGUAAAAGUGUUCCUAUUUCUCCACAUCCUCUCCAGCACCUGUUCUUUCCUGACUUUUAAAUGAUCACCAUUCUAACUGCUGUGAGAUGGUAUCUCACUGUGGUUUUGAUUUGCAUUUCUCUGAUGGCCAGUGAUGAUGAGCAUUUUUUCAUGUGUCUUUUAGCUGCAUAAAUGUCUUCUCCUGAGAAAUGUCUGUUCAUAUCCUUUGCCCACUUGUUGGUGGGGUUGUUUUUUUCUUGUAAAUUUGUUUGAGUUCAUUGUAGAUUCUGGAUAUUAGCCCUUUGUCAGAUGAGUAGACUGCAAAAAUUUUCUCCCAUUCUGUAGGUUGCCUGUUCACUCUGAUGGUAGUUUCUUUUGCUGUGUAGAAGUCUUUAGUUUAAUUAGAUCCCAUUUGUCAAUUUUGGCUUUUGCUGCCAUUGCUUUUGGUGUUUUAGACAUGAAGUCCUUGCCCAUGCCUAUGUCCUGAAUGGUAUUGCCUAGGUUUUCUUCUAGGAUUUUUAUGGUUUUAGGUCUAACAUUUAAGUCUUUAAUCCAUCUUGAAUUCAUUUUUGUAUAAGGUGUAAGGAAGAGAUCCAGUUUCAGCUUUCUACAUAUGGCUAGCCAGUUUUCCCAGCACCAUUUAUUAAAUAGGGAAUCCUUUCCCCAUUUCUUGUUUUUGUCAGGUUUGUCAAAGAUCAGAUAGUUGUAGAUAUCUGGCAUUACUUCUGAGGGCUCUGUUCUGUUCCAUUGGUCUAUAUCUCUGUUUUGGUACCAGUACCAUGCUGUUUUGGUUACUCUAGCCUUGUAGUAUAGUUUGAAGUCAGGUAGCGUGAUACCUCCAGCUUUGUUCUUUUGGCUUAGGAUUGACUUGGCAAUGUCGGCUCUCUCUUGGUUCCAUAUAAACUUUAAAGUAUUUUUUUUCAAUUCUGUGAAGAAAGUCAUUGGUAGCUCGAUGGGGAUGGCAUUGAAUCUAUAAAUUAUCUUGGGCAGUAUGGCCAUUUUCAUGAUAUUGAUUCUUCUUACCCAUGAGCAUGGAAUGUUCUUCCAUUUGUUUGUAUCCUCUUUUAUUUCAUUGAGCAGUGGUUUGUAGUUCUCCUUGAAGAGGUCCUUCACAUCCCUUGUAAGUUGGAUUCCUAGGUAUUUUAUUCUCUUUGAAGCAAUUGUGAAUGGGAGAUCACUCAUGAUUUGGCUCUCUGUUUGUCUGUUAUUGGUGUAUAAGAAUGCUUGUGAUUUUUGCACAUUGACUUUGUAUGCUUAGACUUUGCUGAAGUUGCUUAUCAGCUUAAGGAAAUUUUGGGCUGAGACGAUGGGGUUUUCUAGAUAUACAAUCAUGUCAUCUGCAAACAGGGACAAUUUGACUUCCUCUUUUCCUAAUUGAAAACCCUUUAUUUCCUUCUCCUGCCUAAUUGCCCUGGCCAGAACUUCCAACACUAUGUUGAACAGGCGUGGUGAGAGAGGGCAUCCCUGUCUUGUGCUAGUUUUCAAAGGGAAUGCUUCCAGUUUUUGCCCAUUCAGAAUGAUAUUGGCUGUGGGUUUGUCAUAGAUAGCUCUUAUUAUUUUGAGAUACAUCCCAUCAAUACCUAAUUUAUUGAGAGUUUUUAGCAUGAAGGGCUGUUGAAUUUUGUCAAAGGCCUUUUCGGCAUCUAUUGAGAUAAUCAUUUGGUUUUUAUCGUUGGUUCUGUUUAUAUGCUGGAUUACAUUUAUGAUUUGCAUAUGUUGAACCAGCCUUGCAUCCCAGGGAUGAAGCCCACUUGAUCAUGGUGGAUAAGCUUUUUGAUGGUGCUGCUGCAUUCGGUUUGCCAGUAUUUUACUGAGAUUUUUGCAUCGAUGUUCAUCAGCGAUAUUGGUCUAAAAUUCUCUUUUUUUGUUGUGUCUCUGCCAGGCUUUGGUAUCAGGAUGAUGCUGGCCUCAUAAAAUGAGAUAGAGAGGAUUCCCUGUUUUUCUGUUGAUUGGAAUAGUUUCAGAAGGAAAGGUAUCAGCUGUUCCUUGUAUCUCUGGUAUAAUUCGGCUGUGAAUCCAUCUGGUCCUGGACUCUUUUUGGUUGGUAAGCUAUUGAUUAUUGCCACAAUUUCAGCUCCUGUUAUUGGUCUAUUCAGAGAUUCAACUUCUUCCUGGUUUAGUCUUGGGAAGUGUAUGUGUCGAGGAAUUUAUCCAUUUCUUCUAGAUUUUCUAGUUUAUUUGCAUAGAGGUGUUUAUAGUAUUCUCUGAUGGUAGUUUGUAUUUCUGUGGGAUCGGUGGUGAUAUCCCCUUUAUCAUUUUUUAUUGCAUCUAUUUGAUUCUUCUCUUUUUUCUUCUUUAUUAGUCUUGCUAGCAGUCUAUCAAUUUUGUUGAUCUUUUCAAGAAAACCAGCUCUUGGAUUCAUUGAUUUUUUGAAGGUUCUUUGUGUCUCUAUCUCCUUCAGUUUUGCUCUGAUCUUUGUUAUUUCUUGCCUUCUGCUAGCUUUUGAAUGUGUUUGCUCUUGCUUGUCUAGUUCUUUUAAUUGUGAUGUUAGGGUGUCAAUUUUAGAUCUUUCCCGCUACCUCUUGUGGGCAUUUAGUGCUGUAAAUUUCCCUCUACACACUGCUUUGAAUGUGUCCCAGAGAUUCUGGUAUGUUGUGUCUUUGCUCUCAUUGGUUUCAAAGAACAUCUUUAUUUCUGCCUUCAUUUUGUUAUUACCCAGUAGUCAUUCAGGAGCAGGUUGUUCAGUUUCCAUGUAGUUGAGCGGUUUUGAGUGAGUUUCUUAAUCCUGAGUUCUAGUUUGAUUGCACUGUGGUCUGAGAGACAGUUUGUUAUAAUUUCUCUUCUUUUACAUUUGCUGAGGAGUGCUUUACUUCCAACUAUGUGGUCAAUUUUGGAAUAGGUGUAGUGUGGUGCUGAAAAGAAUGUGUAUUCUGCUGAUUUCGGGUGGAGAGUUCUGUAGAUAUCUAUUAGGUCUGCUUGGUGCAGAGCUGAGUUCAAUUCCUGGAUAUCCUUGUUAACUUUCUGUCUCAUUGAUCUGUCUAAUGUUGACAGUGGGGUGUUAAAAUCUCCCGUUAUUAUUGUGUGGGAGUCUAAGUCUCUUUGUAGGUCUCUCAGGACUUGCUUUAUGAAUCUGGGUGCUCCUGUAUUGUGUGCAUAUGUAUUUAGGAUAGUUAGCUCUUCUUGUUGAAUUGAUCCCUUUACCAUUAUGUAAUGGCCUUCUUCGUCUCUUUUGAUUUUGUUGGUUUAAAGUCUGUUUUAUCAGAGACUAAGAUUGCAGCCCCUGCCUUUUUUUGUUUUCCAUUUGCUUGGUAGAUCUUCCUCCAUCCCUUUAUUUUGAGCCUAUGUGUGUCUUUGCACGUGAGAUGGGUUUCCUGAAUACAGCACACCGAUGGGUCUUGACUCUUUAUCCAAUUUGCCAGUCUGUGUCUUUUAAUUGGAGCAUUUAGCCCAUUUACAUUGAAGGUGAAUAUUGUUAUGUGUGAAUUUGAUCCUGUCAUUAUGAUGUUAGCUGGUUAUUUUGCUCAUUAGUUGAUGCAGUUUCUUCCUAGCCUCGAUGGUCUUUACAAUUUGGCAUGUUUUUGCAGUGGCUGGUACUGGUUGUUCUUUUCCAUGUUUAGUGCUUCCUUCAGGAGCUCUUGUAGGGCAGGCCUGGUGGUGACAAAAUCUCUCAGCAUUUGCUUGUCUGUAAAGGAUUUUAUUUCUCCUUCACUUAUGAAGCUUAGUUUGGCUGGAUAUGAAAUUCUGGGUUAAAAAUUCUUUUCUUUACGAAUGUUGAAUAUUGGUCCCCACUCUCUUCUGACUUGUAGAGUUUCUGCCGAGAGAUCAGCUGUUAGUCUGAUGGGCUUCCCUUUGUGGGUAACCCGACCUUUCUCUCUGGCUGCCCUUAACAUUUUUUCCUUCAUUUCAACUUUGGUGAAUCUGACAAUUAUGUGUCUUGGAGUUGCUGUUCUCAGGGAGUAUCUUUGUGGCGUUCUCUGUAUUUCCUGAAUUUGAAUGUUGGCCUGCCUUGCCAGAUUGGGGAAGUUCUCCUGGAUAAUAUCCUUUAGAGUGUUUUCCAACUUGAUUCCAUUCUCUUCGUCACUUUCAGGUACACCAAUUAGAUGUAGAUUUGGUCUUUUCACGUAGUCCCAUAUUUCUUGGAGGCUUUGUUCAUUUCUUUUUAUUCUUUUUUCUUUAAACUUCUCUUCUCACUUCAUUUCAUUCAUUUGAUCUUCCAUCACUGAUACCCUUUCUUCCAGUUGAUCGAAUCAGCUACUGAGGCUUGUGCAUUCGCCACGUAGUUCUCGUGCCUUAGUUUUCAGCUCCAUCAGGUCCUUUAAGGACUUCUCCACAUUGGUUAUUCUAGUUAGCCAUUCGUCUACUUUUUUUCAAGGUUUUUAACUUCUUUUCCAUGGGUUUGAACUUCCUCCUUUAGCUCAGAUUAGUUUGAUCAUCUGAAGCCUUCUUCUCUCAACUCGUCAAAGUCAUUCUCCAUCCAGCUUUGUUCCAUUGCUGGUGAGGAGCUGUGUUCCUUUGGAGGAGGAGAGGCACUCUGAUUUUUAAAGUUUCCAGUUUUUCUGCUCUGUUUUUUCCCCAUCUUUGUGGUUUAAUCUACCUUUGGUCUUUGAUGAUGGUGACGUGCAGAUGGGGUUUUGGUGUGAAUGUCCUUUCUGUUUGUUAGUUUUUCUUCUAACAGUCAGGACCCUCAGCUGCAGGUCUGUUGGAGUUUGCUGGAGGUCCACUCCAGACCCUGUUUGCCUGGGUAUCAGCAGCGGAGGCUGCAGAACAGUGGAUAUUGGUGAACAGCAAUUGUUGCUGCCUGAUUUUUCCUCUGGAAAUUUUGUCUCAGAGGAGUACCCCGCCGUGUGAGGUGUCAGUCUGCCCCUACUGGGGGGUGCCUCCCAGUUAAGCUACUUGGGGGUCAGGGACCCCCUUGAGGAGGCAGUCUGUCUGUUCUCAGAUCUCCAGCUGGGUGCUGGGAGAACCACUACUCUCUUCAAAGCUGUCAGACAGGGAUAUUCAAGUCUUCAGAGGUUUCUGCUGCCUUUUGUUUGCCUAUGCCCUGCUCCCAGAGGUGGAGUCUACAGAGGCAGGCAGUCCUCCUUGAGCUGCAGUCAGCUCCACCCAGUUCGAGCUUCUCGGCCGCUUUGUUUACCUACUCAAGCCUCGGCAAUAGCGGGCGCCCCUCCCCCAGCCUUGCUGCCACCUUGCAGUUUGAUCUCAGUCUGCUGUGCUAGCAAUGAGCAAGGCUCCGUGGGCUAGGACCCUCUGAGCCAGGCACCGGAUAUAAUCUCCUGGUGUGCCAUUUGCUAAGACCAUUGCAAAAGCACAGUAUUAGGGUGGGAGUGACCCGAUUUUUCAAGUGCCGUCUGUCACCCCUUUCUUUGACUAGGAAAGGGAAUUCCCUGACCCCCUGCAAUUCCCAGGUGAGGUGAUGCCUCACCCUGCUUUGGCUCACACUCGGUGCACUGCACCCACUGUCCUGCACCCACUGUCUGACACUCCCCAGUGAGAUGAACCUGGUACCUCAGUCGGAAAUGCAGAAAUCACCCAUCUUCUCCGUCGCUCACGCUGGGAGCUGUAGACUGGAGCUGCUCCUAUUCGACCAUCUUGGCUCCACCCUCACUGCCACCUAACUUUUCAACUGGAAAUGAUUACUCUGUAAAGCAAUGACAUAAUAAAAUACAAAUAUUAAGAAAAUAGUCUGACAGAAUUCUAUCUGCCUUUUAAGGGAUAAAUUUGUACAAUUGAAAUUAUAUGCUAAUGGAUUGAUAUCAGUAUUUGGCAGUUCUCUUAAAUGUGAAAAGCUAUUUCAAAGACAAAAUCUGUAAAAUCUCGUUUCAGAUCAGCAUUAACAGAUGAGCAAUUAUUUAUGAUGAGCACAACUUUGAACACUGAUUACAUAAAAUGUUAAUAAAAUAAUUAUCAAAUUGUACUUGAUUUCUAUUUUGUGUUUCAUCUAUAAUACUAGCAAGAAUUUUUCUUGUUAUACGAGGAUCUGCAUUUUAUCCUUAAUUUUGCCUUCAGCCUGGAAACCUAAAAUAUGUAGUAUCUGGCCCCUUAAAACAAUUUUGCUGAUUCCUGAUCUACUUGAAAAUAAAAUUAG